GAGGGUACAGCUCAGUGGUAGAGCACAUGCUUAGCAUGCACGAGGUCCUAAGUUCAAUCCCCAGUACCUCCU
rnacentral:tRNA from 1 species